rnacentral:lncRNA from 1 species
ACCCACUUCAAAAAAAUAUUUUUUAGCUAACAUUCUAACUUUGAAAGGCAAUUUUCUAUGUACACAUACCUAGUGCAAAUACCAUUAUGGUAAUAAAUAAAUUUGAGCUUCUUUGCAUAUAACCCUUCUAGACUACUUGUAUAUAAAGAUUUCUCUUCUAUACAUCACAUAUUAACAUUUGUCUUAUCCUAAAAAUUACCCAAAGGGAUCCCAAGCUAACUUUUCAUUUGCUAUAAUCAAGGAUUUAAAUACUGGUACC